rfam:Apaloderma vittatum contig29500, whole genome shotgun sequence.
GGACUGGUUAGCUCAGUGGUUUGAGCAACGGUGCUGGCAACAAUGACAACACCGAGGUCGCGGGUUCGAUUCCCGCUUGGUCCC